GACGAACGCUGGCGGCGUGCCUAAUACAUGCAAGUAGAACGCAGUUGCGAACGGGUGAGUAACGCGUAGGUAACUGCCUGGUAGCGGGGGAUAACUAUUGGAAAAGAUAGCUACUACCGCAUACUACCAGAUGGACCUGCGUUGUAUUAGCUAGUUGGUUGGGUAACGGCUCACCAAGGCAACGAUACAUAGCCGGCCUGGGAGGGGGAUCGGCCACACUGGGACUGAGGCACGGCCCAGGCUCCGUCGGGAGGCAGCAGGAGGGGAUCUUCGGCAAUGGACGGAAGGCUGGCCGAAGAACGGCGCGGGGGUGAAGAAAGGUUUCGGGUCGUAAAGCUCUGUUGUAAGAGAAGCGGUAUCUUACGAGAAAGGGACGGCUAACUACGUGCCAGCAGCCGCGGUAAUUC
rnacentral:rRNA from 1 species